AACGUUCACAAAGUAGGAAUAGAACCUGAUAACCCUUGGAUAAUAAGGUUGGGCUCCCUUAUAGAUUUCUCCAGAGAUUCUACUUUCUUUGAACGAAAGGAAGAAAAAAAAUAUUUAAUUUGAUCCUAACUUGAAGAAUCCAGGUUCAACACCUCCUGAGAUACAAAAAGAGGGUGACAGUGUACCUUAAUGAUCCAAGAAGGCAUGAGGUGGAGCAGGAAAGAAAUCAAAUGCUACUUUGGUGAACAAUGAGAUCCUAGCUCUUGGGGAAGUGAGAAGCAUCUCAGUAAUCAGGGAAAUAUUUCUUUCUUCACUUGGGGUUGAGACUGUACUGUCCUCACAACCUAACAUUUGUCCUGGGGAGUUGUACAGAUGUUCUAUCUAACAGGUUCAUGAGCUAAGAAAUAAGUUUGUUUGCACUCACCCUGGUGGGCAUGCAUGGAGACAGCCUGAGGGUUCGACCAGUACCCAGUAGACAAGGCAUUUUAGAGAACUCAGCCCCUCAGGCUUAAUGUUCUCUGGAGCUUGGGUGUCACUAGAUACCCAUGAUAUUCCUGCUGCUAUUCUCAGUGACUGCUCCAGCCUGUUUAAGCGAAGGGAAAGAGGUGCUGGAACAAUCAAGUGGUGUCCUCACUGCUGGCAGGUGGGAGGGAGGGAGUGAAGGAGAGCGGUGAAGCAAGACUGCACUCCCAAGCAGUGAAGGAGAGAAGGAGGGUGAAUGAAGGAGGAGGACAACUUGGGGUCAAGAGACUGAGGCUGGAACACGUAAGAGCCCACUGGCCUUUUAAAGGACCUAAGCAAAGAAACUUCCCUUUUGGAAUCUGGGAAAAGCAUUAAUUUUCCAGACUUUAAUUUGUUGCCCUUCUUUGAUGAAAUCUCCAGAAACUUUGAUAAAAUGUUCUGUUUGUACUGCAUAGGUCUCGUACAAAAGUGUAAGGGAGUUUGAGGGAACUUUUGGUCAGGGGAGGGUGACUGUGGUCCACUGCAACCCUCCUGUGUGCUCCUGGAGAGAGGGCAUCAUCUUUUACAUGGAGGUGACCACAGCAGAAGACCAUGACCCCCAGCAGGGCCUCGGUUCCAGGCAACGCUCACAACACAUAGGAGGACCCAGAAACACUUUGUUCAGGAAGAACCACAACUCUGUACUUCAAGCAAUGGUUCUGAGCUCUGGAUGCAGAAUGAACACAAUGAGGUAUCUUAAUAAUAACAGCUAAAGAUCCACCCCAGACAAGGAAGUCACAUCACUGCAGGAGGUGCCUUGGCAUAAUAUUUAAUUUUCAAAAGCAGCUGAGAUGGGGAUGAGAACCAGAGGAUUAGAGGAAGAUGACUCCUUAAGGAUGAGGACACUCAUCUGGCUUAGAGACACAACCUGGCCUGUAGCUGAUACCGUCUGCACCUCAGGCUCCUCCCUGUAAAACAACUCAGUGUCAAUGGUAAACUCAAAUGUGAAGCUUUUCCAGUUCCUUUGGUUUUGCUCACCUGUGACGUGCACCACACCUAGCAUCGAACAUCGCAGCUGAAUAUUCAGUCCUGAGUCACCAUGACUCUGCCAUCAGCUGGUCAGGCAGAUGAGAAUUCCAGGAAGCCCGAGGCUGGCGCAUCCCCCUGCCGGGAAGGGACCUAGCCUUUGCCCUGUCUCGUGGUGUGAAUGUGCAUUCCUGGUGCUGAGAUUGCCCAGCCACCUUUACUCCCAGUCAUGCUAGAGUCUGCCAGGCUUUCCUCACCUGGAGGAGGACACAUGAGUCUUGUGGGAGGAAUUGGAUAGAAAGACACCCCCCUUUAGAGGAAGAAGGAUGGAGAAGCACAAUGAUGCCGAAAUGCUGCCUUCCAAGACUUCUUCAGCUGUAGCAACUUUCCCCACUUCCAGGCACUACCACAUGCCUGGUCAAUCCUACAGAGAGGCUGAGAGUCUCUUUGUCACCUGGUCCCCCCAUUCUGGUGGGGCUGAUCUGUCACUCUUCCGGGUGCCAGCCACUGGGCUAGUUCUUAACUUCCUUCCUUCAUUUCUUCCUUCCUUCCUCCCAGUUUCAUUCCUCCCUCCUUUUCCUCCUUCUUUCCACAAACAUAGGCAUCGAGCUAAAUAUUCAGGAAAAUAAAUGGUGCACAGGUCACAGGCUCUGGGUGGCACAGGAGUCUGUAGAGGACAGCAGACACAGGAGGCAGUUGCAUGGUGACAGACUCCAGCUCCAGGUGGGCCCAGCAGUGGAGGAGUCACAGGAGCGGCAGCCAGCCACAUUCGGGCCUGAGUGUCAGCUUCCCGGAGAAAGUGUAGUCAGAGCUGCAAGCUAAAGGGUGAACAGGGGAA
rnacentral:lncRNA from 1 species